GGAAAACUGGACACACUGCUGGGAUAGCAGAGGGGAAAGUCGACUGGUCUGAAAGAGUACACAAACUCCUCCCAUGAAAGUCUAUGUUUACCACAUGGCAAGUCAGUGAUUAGGAAAAUAGCAUGACACGCAACUUAAAAGAAAAAUGUUCCAGUGCUGCGUUGUAUGGGAAAAAAAAGUAAAAAGCAUCAAAGUUUUGGCUCAGAGACACAGUUUCCAGUUAAACAUGUGACUGAUGCAUCUUUUCUUGCUUUGGGAAAGGAAAAAAAAAAAGACACUAAAGAAAAAAUUCCUACAAUGCAUAUUUUCUACAGUGAUAAAACUGCAGAUCUCUGAAGACCAGAAUCAGCAGAACAGCCCGACUGCUAGGGUAAAGGCAAUGCUUACAUUUGAUCCUAAUCUAUAACAUCUGUAAGGAUCAAGGGAGAGACGACGUACAAGGCCUUGAGAAAUCUCCCAGAUUCUUAAAGAAAACAUUUAUGUUCUCGCUAAGCCGGUGUCCUGCUCAGAGCCCCGUUUCAGAUAGUAAUCCUAGAAACCGGUCUCCGGCCCCUGUAUCAAAAGCCAAGCACACCAGCUGCCUGGGAAAGACGUGCAGCCCCCGAAAAUGAAACGGAGGACCCCCAGUUAUGGGUCAGACCUCCCUAGUUCCAAUAUUAAGGGGCUCGGGAGUUUCACGACCGCCCGCAGCAACUGCUUGAAUCCAGCGCAGCUGCUGAAUAAAGGGAGGAAAGGGAGAGCGGAGAUGUCGGAGCUUCUCAGCCGGGCGUUUCCAGCUCCUCAGCUCCCCUUCCGGCUCCCCAACCUUGCCCUGGCGUUUAAGGUAAAAAGAGGGAUAAACCGGAGCCGCGCUACAACCGCUGGGAAUGUCGGUCUGCGGCCCGCAGAGGGCACCAGCGAGAUGCGUUUGGAGCAGGCGGGGAGCGGCAGCGAGUCAUUUCUGGUAAAACUUCUUUAAUGUGAGGAAUGUCACGGGCUGGUACGGUUGGCAAAGUUUAAGACUGGACGGGUUUCCCCCCCCCUUCUUUUUUUUAUGAUCUUAUGACUUCUUGAUGCGAGGACAGCGAUGUGCUCCCGCUGCCAGGUCGCUCAUACGAGCCACACACGAAAUAAUAAUGUUAGAAGAGAUGGGGGGCAGCCCAAUUCUGAAAAGGCAAAAAAAGAGUGAGGCUGGGCCAGCUGAUGUAAACAAGUUAUGAAAUAACCCAGGUUUGUAUAACCGGCCCGAUUGUGUAAUGCCUUCCCCAGAAGUGGUGGAUUUAGUCUAUGUAGGCAUAUAAGGCAUUCCGAGAUGUUUUCUUAGGAAAAUGAAAAGGGGGGAAAAAAAUAAACCAACGAACCGCCCAACUCGGCUUUUAGGUCCGUGAGUUCACGCCGCUUCCCCAAGGAAAUAUCUCUCGUUCCCCAAGCGCCGCCCGGCCGCGGGAGCCGGGCCGGGGAGCGCUCCGCCGGCUCCCGGGAACUCCCGCUCGCGAAGAGGCCAUCGCCAGGCGGAGAGCGGCCGGGGCUCCCGGUGGAGCGGCAGAGCGGCGGGCCGGGCAGAGCGGCUCACCACCGGUCCUCACGGUGGGAAAGGCAGAAAGCAGGGUCACCGCCCCGGAGACAAAGUUUUGGGAGAGAGAAGCGGGGAGACUACUUCGGGCGCUUGGAGAAGCCGGAGCCCGCUCCAAAUCCCGUCCCGUCACCCCCCCACCGCCGGCGGUGGUACGGUGGCUGCGGCUGCGCCGUGAGAGUAACUCGGCGGCAGCUCCCGGAGCCCCCGGAAGGGCCAUCCCGAACUGCUGUGAGCGAGCCCGAGGCAGAGCCCAGGAACGGGCGGCGAGCGGGGCACGGCGGCGAAGCUCCCAAAGAGAACAAAAGCAGGAAAGAGAGAGACACAGAUGCGCCCGUGAGCUGCCGUUACGGGUCUCCGAGGGCAAUUGCCCGGAGGAGCCCUUUAGUUUCCGACCUAACCCCGGCAGGGCACCGGGCAGGGGCUCCCCACCCACACCCGCGCGCCCCGCUGUACCCGGUCCCGGACGGCGAGAGCAGCCGCGUCGGGCGCUUCCCCACCGCUCGGAGCCGACACCGCGAGCCCCGACCGGCGGGGAACUCCGCGCAGCGUCCCGCGCGGGAGGGUCGCGGCGCUCGCUCCGGAGCGGGCGGGGAAGGAGAGAGAGAGGGAAGCGGCGUCGCUCCGCCGGCGGGGACGGGACGGCGGCUGCGGGCAGCCCGCGCCCGCCCCGCCUGCGCCUCCACGGCCGGCGCCUCUCCGCCGGGCGCCCGCGCCUUCCCCGCGGAGGAAGCGCCGCUCCCCGGGUGUGGCGGGAAACUCCCGUGCCCGGAGCUCUGGCGGCAGCCCCCGGGAAGAACCGGGGGAGAGGGGCAGCGCCCGGCCCUACCUGCUGGGCUGCGCCGCUGGAGUAGGUCUCGGGGUGUCCCGGGGAGCCGCUGCUGCCUCUGGAGGAGGUGUCGAAGUUCCCGGGGUAGUCCUGGUACAUGGUCCGAGGUCGGGCCGGGGGAGCCGCGUCCCCGCCUUCCCGCACCGACACCCGCCGCUCCCUCGCCGUCUCCCCGCCCCCUUCUCCCUCCCGACCUCUUCGGUGGCUCUUGCCUCUCGCCUCCCUGCGCUCGCCGUGGACAGCGGGGGGAAAAGGAUACAAAAAAGGCUUUGGAGAAAGGGAAAAAAGUUAAAAGCCCUGUAAGAAGUGUAGGAAGCUGGAAGCGCACCCGGGGCCAAACCCUCAGCUCUUAUGGGAUGAAGAACCUCCCUACCAUGGCUGGACCAGCACCACCCUGCCCUCCACCAGUGCCUGACCCAUGGCCCUCAGGAGCAGAGGAUAAGGGCACUCGGCAGCACCUUAGACUCGGCCCCUGGCAAACACGUGGCACAGCCUGCAGUCAGGACCUCUUUCUCCAGCCUUCCCAGCAGCACCACACCAUGACACCUGCCUAAGGGCAGGAUCACUGAUUUUCGAUCAAAAAUAAAUUGCAUCCACGAUC